GAUAGCUCAGUUGGUUAGAGUGCCAUUCUGAUAAUGCCAGAGUUGCAGGUUCGAUCCCCAUAAGGAACA